UUUACAGGGAGGCCGCCAUUUUGUAGCCAGAGAGCUAACAAACAAUAGCAGAUCCGCUAACACAGCAAAGAUGGAACCGGAAGGAGAGAGAGAGAGGAGUGAGGGAAGAGCAGCGGGAACAAAUCGCUCGGUCCUCUGCUUUGGACUUCUCAGGAUGAUAUUGAUUAACCUGGAAUACUUUUACAGGGAACCCCUCUGAUUUCUGUGACCUGUGGACACUUGUGGACUUAAGGAAUAUAAACAACGGAGGAAUGGAGGGAGAAUCGGAGUUCUACAGUCUAAACGAGGACAAAACUAUUUUUGGACAUAUUUGUGGAAACUGUGUCGGAGCCUCGAGUGUCUGAGUGGGCGUCUCCAAUGACAGUGUCAGCUGAGACCUGGAGACGCUCUGUCAACUUCAGUGUUGCACUACACAGUCCACGUCUGUCUCUUCACGACGCGACGUCUGUGCAUCGGAGACACAGAUGUUCCUGUUCAUUUGACUGAAGACUGUUUGUGGAUUCAGGUUUCUCUUCCUGGCUCCACCCACGCGAUCACGCUCGGCUUAUAGUCUUUGCAUUGGGAUGAUGGAAGGGUCCGACAGAUGAAUCCUUCGCAGCCAAACCUAUCCCAGGAUUCAUUGCGGGCCAGUGAUGAAUCACCUUUCAAACAGAGACUAUGGCGCACCUGAAGACCACACCGUCUCGGUUCGGCCUUCACAAUCUACGCAGCCUUCGGAGGCCGGUCGAUACCAAAGAUUCAAGACCCCCGGAGAACACUGAUGUACGGGCCGAUAUCCUGCCAGAACCCAGUAUUAGACAAAGAGCCCUGGGAGAAGACAGAUUGCAUCCCAUCUCAAGUGUGAGAUCACUCAUGUUGGAGUGGCCCUCUGAGCAGAGCCGGAGCAACGUGCCAGCAUGUGAAGUGAAGCCGGCAACACAACACACCUCCUGUGGCCGAGGACGGACGUGGGCAGAACCUCUGUAGACUUAUCGACAUCGCUGGCAACAGAGCCGGGAUGGAUGGGAAAUACAAUCAAGCCCCAUGGAUGGUGAAUGAUCUCAGCAGCUCUGAAGGAGGAUAAGUAACAGCUAAGAGACCCCAUGGACAUGAAGAUCUCCAGAUCAACAUCAGCUUGUUACACACAUCGGAGAGCAAAAUACCAUACAAGCAACCAAACUUUUAUUACUCAGAGAGACCUUGGUGUGCCUUGUACCAGAUCUGUCCAUUGUGCACUAAUAAAACCAGCUACAUUGAAGUGUUGACUUGUUGGUCUAAUUGUGCUCACUUUUUCAUCUUUCUUUCAUAAGAGGUAAUCUCUUCAGUAAGGUAUGAAAUGAAAUACAAACAUCAUAGUAUAGUAUGUGAUAAAACAUCUCAAAAACGUAAUCGUAUGGUAAGGCAUAAUAAGGCAUAAGAACGACAGUAUAGCAAGACAUAGAGUAAUGUAAGAAAUUUAUUGUUUUACAUGCAUAUAACUUUUACUUUAGAAUACAAAUCAUAUUUGACUGUAUAUAUGUGUAUGAAACUGGCAUAUUAAGGAAACAUAUGGAGGUCCUCAUUAGAUUGAUUAAGGUUUGUGUUUGCUUAUGUGGUUAGAGCCCCAUGGAUGGUGAAUUAUCUCAGCAGCUCUGAAGGAGGACAAUAACAGCUAUGAGACCCCAUGGACAUGAAGAUCUCCAGAGAAACAUCAGUUUGUCACACACAUCGGACAGCAAAAUACCAUACAAGCAACCAAACUUUUAUUAGUCAGAGAGACCUUGGUCUGCCUUGUACCAGAUCUGUCCUUUGUGCACGAAUA